AUUGAACGCUGGCGGCAGGCUUAACACAUGCAAGUCGAGCGAGCGGCGGACGGGUGAGUAAUGUCUGGGAAACUGCCUGAUGGAGGGGGAUAACUACUGGAAACGGUAGCUAAUACCGCAUACUACAAGAUGUGCCCAGAUGGGAUUAGCUAGUUGGUGGGGUAAGGGCUCACCUGGGCGGCGAUCCCUAGCUGGUCUGAGAGGAGCACCGGCCACACUGGAACUGAGAACGGGUCAAGACUCCUACGGGGGGCAGAAGUGGGGAAUAUUGCAAAAUGGGGGAAAGCCUGAUGCAGCCAUGCCGCGUGUGUGAAGAAGGCCUUCGGGUUGUAAAGCACUUUCAGCGGGGAGGCGGUACUCGCAGAAGAAGCACCGGCUAACUCCGUGCCAGCAGCCGCGGUAAUUC
rnacentral:rRNA from 1 species